rnacentral:rRNA from 1 species
GACGAACGCUGGCGGCGUGCCUAAUACAUGCAAGUAGAACGCUGAAGAGAGGAGCUUACUCUUCUUGGAUGAGUUGCGCACGGGUGAGUAACGCGUAGGUAACCUGCCUUGUAGCGGGGGAUAACUAUUGGAAACGAUAGCUAAUACCGCAUAACAAUGGAUGACACAUGUCAUUUAUUUGAAAGGGGCAAUUGCUCCACUACAAGAUGGACCUGCGUUGUAUUAGCUAGUAGGUGAGGUAAUGGCUCACCUAGGCGACGAUACAUAGCCGACCUGAGAGGGUGAUCGGCCACACUGGGACUGAGACACGGCCCAGACUCCUACGGGAGGCAGCAGUAGGGAAUCUUCGGCAAGGGGGGCAACCCUGACCGAGCAACGCCACGUGAGUGAAGAAGGGUUUCGGAUCGUAAAGCUCUGUUGUAAGUCAAGAACGGGUGUGAGAGUGGAAAGUUCACACUGUGACGGUAGCUUACCAGAAAGGGACGGCUAACUACGUG